rnacentral:lncRNA from 1 species
CCGGCCAUAGCAAGAAAAAAGAGAGGAAAAGAAGAACAAGAACCCUAGGUGGGAAAAUUUAAGGGAAAAUUGGUGGAUUUAAAGUAAUCAAGCAAUCAAAGGUAAAAUUUCUUGAUUUUGACUUGUGAUCUACCUUUCCCAUGCAUUUUUCCUUAUUUUUCAUGGUUAGAUUUCAUGUUUUCAUGGUGAAUUCAUGGCUGGUCAAAAUGGGUAUGGAGAGAGAAAGAUGUUAGAUUGAUUUGAUUUUAAGUUAUGUUAGUGUUUUUAGUUAGUUUAGCAUAUUUAGAAACAAAACAACAAGAAAAGAAUUCAUUUUCCCCAUCAACCAUCAAUGGCUGAAUUUCCUAAGGAGGAUAUUGUGGUUGAAAUUGAUGAUAUUUCAUAAUAUUUUGGUGAUAUUUGAUGUUUGGUGAGACUAGAAAUUAAAUGGGAAAUUUUGGUGUGAAAAUUUGAAUUUUUGCUCAACGUAUAGACAAGUGUGAUUAUUGACCCAGGACUGAUAAAUUGAAUCUUAUUCACAGUCACUGAGGUAAUUUAGGUAUAAUUGGAGUGUAGAUAGUGAGAAAAAUUGAUUUGGAGUUAAAUUGGAGAUUUUAACCAAUUACACCGAGAAUAGUGCGAAUUAGGUUGAAUACCGUAUUUAAACGACUCUUCGGACAUUUUGCAUCACAUUUAGUACAUUCAUAUAGAUUUAUAGAGCUUGAAAUAAUUUAUGAUAAAUUGACACAAUUUAUUGAAAUUCGUGUCACGUAUGAUGUAUAGAUGGUGAGCCCUCUAACAAGAGUAAAGAGAUUGUGCCUGAAGACCGAGAAUAGGAGUAUAUCGAACUCCUAGUACUGUGAGUAACCUUAUUAUUAUUUUAAUUAUCUAAAGUAUGUUUUUAAUCGAUUUUGGUGGAAUUUUAUGAAAAUGAGUUUAAAUGGUUAAUUUUUGGUUUUGCAAAUAAAAUAUGUUUAAAUAAAAUGAUUUUAUAAAUUGUCUUGAAAUGAAAUAACGAUUUUGAAAAAUAGAGUAAUUGGAGACCACUGGUAUGUUAUAAAUUUAUGAUUGGAAUUGAUGGCUUAUGUUAAUGUGUUGGCAUGACUGGUUGGGCUGUGUUUUAUGAAUUGUAUGAAUUGUUUUAUUUUACCCUUGCAGAUUGGGUAGUAAUACAUUAGCCCUGUCAUGCUGUCAAAAUUUUAUUGUAUGGUGGGUGUAGAUUACUGCAGUAGGAAGAUUUCCGUGGACUAGCCUAUUAGAGGGGCAUGGUAAACCCUGUUAUAUUUUACCUCGAUUGGAGAAGCGAGUAGGGUAACUCCUGAGGUAUAACUUUAGAGUUCACUUCACGCCAAACCACUACGUGAGGGGGAACUCGACCAACGCCAAGGAAUGACUAUGUUUUCAAAAUAAAAACAUGAUUUAUGCGUACAUGACUUUCUAAUAGCCUUGGAGGACUCAGUUGGGAUAGCCCUUGGCCAAGGUAUCCUAGAUAACUGAGUAUGAUAAUAAUUUUUGGCAUGAGUCAAGCUUUUAAGAAAUUCAUAAGCCAUAUUGAUUACUUGAUUUAAAUAAAUUGAUUUCAUUUGGUUGAAAUAAGUUGAAAGAUGAUAAAUUAUAGUUUGAUAAAAUGUUUUAAUAGUUUCCUUUUACUCGCCUUUAGAUAUUUUAAAUGAUAUUUGUUUACUCACUAGGAUUUUAUAAUCUCACCACCCUCCUUUCCAUCCAUUACAGGUUCAGAAUAGAUUCUAGAUAACUGAUAUUGGCGAGAAUUACAGUUGGACUUGCCACAUCCAAAAAUUGUAGGUUCAUUUCUUUAGAUACUUUUAGUCAUUCGUGGGCCCACGUGUCACUGUAAAUUAAAUUCUAUACUUUGGUUAUCUGUAUUAUAGCAUGUAUGAAUUUAUUUUGCUUUUACACUAUAAAAAUUAUUUACACAGUGUUCUAAAAAUAUUAUUUUAUUAAAAAAUUAAAUAUUUUAUUCUAUAUUUUUAUUUUAUUCUAAUAGUCAUA